rnacentral:rRNA from 1 species
CUACGGGAGGCAGCAGUGGGGAAUCUUGCGCAAUGGGCGAAAGCCUGACGCAGCGACGCCGCGUGAGUGAUGAAGGCCUUCGGGUUGUAAAGCUCUGUGGGGCGAGACGAAUAAGUAGAAGCUAACACCUUCUAUGAUGACGGUAUCGCCUUAGCAAGCACCGGCUAACUCUGUGCCAGCAGCCGCGGUAAGACAGAGGGUGCAAACGUUGUUCGGAAUUACUGGGCGUAAAGCGAGUGUAGGCGGUCUUGUAAGUCGGAUGUGAAAGCCCCGGGCUCAACCCGGGAAGUGCACUCGAAACUGCGAGGCUAGAGUAUCGGAGAGGUUGGUGGAAUUCUCGGUGUAGAGGUGAAAUUCGUAGAUAUCGAGAGGAACACCGGUGGCGAAGGCGGCCAACUGGACGAAUACUGACGCUGAGACUCGAAAGCGUGGGGAGCAAACAGGAUUAGAUACCCUGGUAGUCC